CAUUUUUGAAACAUUACAACUUUUUUCCCCCUUGAAUUUCUUGAAUAUUUUUAUUCUCCCAAUUUUUACACUUUCUCAUGUUCCGCCCCCCCAUUCGAUCUGAACCUCAUUUUAAUUUUUUUUGCAGACAUUUAGAACUUUAUAA